rnacentral:rRNA from 1 species
UACGUAGGGGGCAAGCGUUGUCCGGAUUUAUUGGGCGUAAAGAGCGUGUAGGCGGCCAGAUAGGUCAGCUGUGAAAACUCGAGGCUCAACCUCGAGAUGUCGGCUGAAACCAUCUGGCUAGAGUCCGGAAGAGGAGAAUGGAAUUCCCGGUGUAGCGGUGAAAUGCGCAGAUAUCGGGAAGAACACCCGUGGCGAAGGCGACUACCUGGCCUGUUCUUGACGCUGAGGCGCGAAAGCUAGGGGAGCAAACGGG